UGUAUGAUUUAGGAUGUGAAAAUAGAUGAAAACAGACUCAAUAUCAAGUUUGAUUGUGUCAAGGAACCUCCAAGUGUAUUAUCAUUAGGAAUAUAAUAUGAAGAGUUAUUAGUGAAAUUGAACUUUGCUAAAAACAUGUAUUGCCUUUUGUUGUAUCUCUGUUAUUUUUUAGGUGAGGAUGGAAUCGGCAGAAUAUGAAAGGAUGACUCUUCUAGGAUAUCUUUGUUCUCUUUAGAGUUAUUUUGUGGUUAUCAUUUUUUAUUUUGGUUAGGUGUGGAUAUAUGAUAGGAGUGACACAGGGAUUAAAUGAUGACUUUAGGAUUAAUUGCUCUUUGGGUACUUCCAUGUUAACAUACAAGGAUUAACUGACUAAAAUUGAAUUUCUUUAUCAUAUUAAUUGAGGGAGCUAGCCCAUGAACUGCACAAUACACGACUCUGUCAUCACUACAGUUAUUAAAGAGGUGCGCUUGAGGUGUGAGGCGCAACAGCCGACAAGGAGAGUGCCUCGUAGCUGCGGAGGUAGGCAACCUCACCUAGGCGCACCAAGGCGCCAAGCGUGCCAAUUGUAGACAGCCACUGACCGGAAGAAUCUCCUACUCCUUCUCAGUUGGCUUAAAGAAGUUGUAGGCUGCUAUGAUGUGGAUGUUUUUUAUUGGUGCUUUACAAAUAUCUUUAAUGAUGAAUAACAUAUUGCAUAUAUUUCUAUAUGUGAUUAAUUUAUGGUGCUUAUAUAAUUUAUUUUAAAUGAGUUUGUUGCA
rnacentral:misc_RNA from 1 species